rnacentral:lncRNA from 1 species
UUCGGAGGGGAGUAAAAAUGCAGCUGCGGCCCCGGCUCGAGCUCCUCGGCCUGGUGGUUCUUCUGCACGCGGCGGCUUUGCAACCGGCCGCCUCUUGGCUGCAAUAGCUUCGCAGCCUUGCUCUGCGCACACAUUUUCUGCGGAGCGGGGGGAAAAAGGAGUGUUUGUCUAUGGAUAUAACCUGUUCUGAGGGACCGGCUUGAAGCCAUCCAGCUCCCGGGUGCAGACGCGACUCGGGGCACCACCAAAACCAACAGGCAGAACUGCAGCCCUCCUAAACUCUCUCAACGCAGCUACUUAGGUGUGAGUCUACACGCUCCAUAUCGGCCAGAGACAACUGCGGCUGCAACGCAUCCGAAGAGCCGGCCCAGAUGGGCCCAUAUCACUUGCAGCUCUACGCCCUCGUUCGGUUCAUCUUUUCGGUGGAUUUAACGUUCAGCUCUGCGUCGUUAUUUUGGAGUUGCUCUCCACAGGAAGCGCCACGAUGGCUCCAGCUCAGCACACCAUCCGGCCGGCAGGAUGGUGUGCGCUAAGCUUACCGCGACGCUGCAGCUACUCCCUAGGAGACCACGAAGAAGUGUGGGCUCUCUGGGAGGCAGCUGGGAGACAUCGCAAACCUGGCACUCCAGCAGACGGACCCUUGUUUCUGUGCCCGACCACAAAAAAGUGGCACAGCACCCCUUUCAAAAUUGCAGCUGGCCACUGGGCUGAGGUUUGCUGCCGUUGGAUUCAUGCGCGAAGCCUGAGCAGAACUGAAGCCCAGCUGCUCACACAGGGCACUCCUAAUGGGAACUACAGCACUAACCCAGCUGCACCCUCAGCCCUCCAGGACGGCAGCAAGCUUGCCUAG